AGUGUUAUUGAAAUCAGCGAUGGAAAAAUCUGCCAAAAAACGCAAGAUUUCAGUAUUCAAAUUAUGGGUUCUCUCUGACUUCACAAUUGUUGGAUCUAGGUUCUCUUCAGACUUCACAAUCUGCCAGAAAACUCAAGCAUAACUUGGUUGCCGUUCUGAUUUGAAGAAAUUUCAAACCCAUGAAAGCUCGGGUUUCCUGCUUUUGGUGUGCUGCAAAUGUUGAUUUAUUACUCUUUGCGUACACUUUGCCUUGGAGCUACUAAGUACGCCAAGGUAUACUAACUAUUUGACCGCAUGUGUGAUAGUUGCAAUAUUGUGAGGUUUUGAAAUGUUAAUUAUAAUGUUAAAAAGCCAAAAAAAUUGUAUGGAUGUGAUCGUUCAAUAUAUGGUUAUAGAGUGAUGAUUAUUGAUCUUGAUGCACAUCAAGGAAACAGUCAUGAGACGGAUUUUACCAAUGAAAGUAAGGUACUUCUCAGUCCUCAUAGGGAUUUGAAUAUUUAACUUGACCCUCUUCUGGAAUUCCAAUAACUGUUUUGCAUGAACGGGUUGAGUCUAUAUGUUAAUAGAGUGUUUUUUUUUUUAAAAAAUCAUAAUUUUGUUUUAUUUUA